rnacentral:rRNA from 1 species
UACGGAGGGAGCUAGCGUUGUUCGGAAUUACUGGGCGUAAAGCGCACGUAGGCGGCUUUGUAAGUUAGAGGUGAAAGCCCGGGGCUCAACUCCGGAAUUGCCUUUAAGACUGCAUCGCUUGAAUCCGGGAGAGGUGAGUGGAAUUCCGAGUGUAGAGGUGAAAUUCGUAGAUAUUCGCAAGAACACCAGUGGCGAAGGCGGCUCACUGGCCCAGUACUGACGCUGAGGUGCGAAAGCGUGGGGAGCAAACAGG